UACAGAGGGUGCGAGCGUUAAUCGGAAUUACUGGGCGUAAAGCGCACGUAGGCGGCUUGGUAUGUCGGGUGUGAAAUCCCCGGGCUCAACCUGGGAACUGCAUCCGAAACUGCCUUGCUAGAGUAUGGGAGAGGGAAGUGGAAUUUCCGGUGUAGCGGUGAAAUGCGUAGAUAUUGGAAGGAACAUCAGUGGCGAAGGCGACUUCCUGGACCAAUACUGACGCUCAGGUGCGAAAGCGUGGGGAGCAAACAGG
rnacentral:rRNA from 1 species